rnacentral:rRNA from 1 species
GCCUAAAAUCUAGCCUAUCUACAUCCACAUGCCUUCCUAUCCCAACAGCCCAAAGAUAAAACAUUUUAUUAUUUUAGUACAGGUGAUCGAAAAAUUUUUAAGCGCUUCAGAUAAAGUACCGUAAGGGAAAGAUGAAAUAGAAUUGAAAUAACCUUAAAGCCUCAAAUAGCAGAGACUCCCCCUCGUACCUUUUGCAUCAUGGUCUAGUUAGUUUAUUCAAGCAAAAUGAAAUUUUUAGUUAGACACCCCGAAACUAAGGGAGCUACUUCAAAACAGCCUAAUGGGCCAACCCGUCUCUGUUGCAAAAGAGUGGGAAGAUUUUUAAGUAGAGGUGAAAAACCUACCGAACUUAGAGAUAGCUGGUUGUUCAGGAAAAGAGUUUUAGCUCUACCUUAAACUUACUAAUGAUAUAAAACAAACUUUGAAGCUUAAGAGCUAUUCAAAUAAGGCACAGCUUAUUUGAAAUAGGAUACAACCUAUUAUACAGGGUAAAUAGUAGUAUUAAAAAUUAAGUGGGCCUAAAAGCAGCCACCUUCAAAAAAGCGUUAAAGCUUAAUUAAAAUUACUUAUAAUUUCCAAAAUUAUUAAUAACCCUUUAUUUUUACUGAACUAUUUUAUAUUCUUAUAAAAGCAAUGAUGCUAGAACUAGUAACAAGAAAUUGACUUCUCCUAAAUGUAAGCAUAAACCAAAAUUGACAUUCCAUUGGUAAUCAACGUAAAUGCAGAAAAUAUAAUAACCUACUAGAAAAACCUAUAAUUUUUUACGUUAACCUAACACUAGAAUAUUACAGGAAAGAUUAAAAGAGAAAGAAGGAACUCGGCAAAAUUUAGCCUCGCCUGUUUACCAAAAACAUCGCCUCUUGAUAAAACAUAAGAGGUCCAGCCUGCCCAGUGACAUAGUUCAACGGCCGCGGUACCCUAACCGUGCGAAGGUAGCAUAAUCAAUUGUCCUCUAAAUAGGGACUAGUAUCAAUGGCACCACGAAGGCUACACUGUCUCCUUUCUCUAAUCAGUGAAACUGAUCUCCCCGUGAAGAAGCGGGAAUAUAAUUAUAAGACGAGAAGACCCCAUGGAGCUUUAAACUCAUCAUACACCUUCAUAUUACUUAAAUCUACUAAUCCUAAAGACCUGUAUGCUAAUUUUAGGUUGGGGGGACCACGGAGUAUAAUUUAACCUCCACAACAAAUGGGUUAAUACCCUUAUCCACGAGAAACACCUCUAAGAAUUAAUAAACUAAUGUUUAAUGAUCCGAUAACUCGAUCAAUGAACCAAGUUACCCUGGGGAUAACAGCGCAAUCUACUUCAAGAGCCCCUAUCGACAAGUAGGUUUACGACCUCGAUGUUGGAUCAGGGUAUCCUAGUGGUGCAACCGCUACUAAUGGUUCGUUUGUUCAACG